GGCCGUCUGGAGCGGCGCUCGGGUUUUUGCGCAACCCCCGGGCGUUCAGCCGCGGCCGGCUC
rnacentral:tRNA from 1 species